UUACAGCUAGACAUUUUUACUUCAUGACAAGCCGUUGGUGUCGACCCUUUCUGCUAAAACUAAUGCAUCAUUACAUCUCUCACCAAAAUUGCAUUAUUUGAAUUGGCUACUACUGUGUAUUGUAAGUGGUAACGAAUAUGACUUCUGUCAAAAUUCUGUGAAGAUCUACAAUGAAUGUUGUUUACCCAGCAGGUGGAUAUGACGUCACGGAUUUGGAACAUCAGAAAAUAACAUCCAAAUUCGCGAUAUUUUUUCUUUCCAUGCGAAUUAAAAUGUAAUAACAUUAGAAAGAGCUCGCUCUCUUAUUCGAGACAGAACGUGGCGUGAAGUCUAGAUUAUUUUACCGGUAACAGCGCUCUCGGUGAAUGCAGCAGAGAUGUAUCCUCGCAGUUAAAGUUAGUCCCCCAAGCGGAGUAAUGUUGGUAGUAUUUACAGUGUGAAUAUUGCAUGCUUACUUGGUAUACAAGAUCGCGUGUACAGUUCAUUAUCUCUAGCACAGAAUUGUCUACUGCGUGCACCUACCAUUGUGGAUUGGUGUCAUCUGUGAACUCCUGAUGGUCCCGCCUCUGAAGACCCUGAGCUGAAUUUUCAUUGGAAGAAUGGAACGCCAGUCUUUCCUACACAAGUGAACACGUGGGUGCUCUGAUUGGCUGAAUACUUUCUGCACUGUUGUCUGGCUGGCUGCCAGCGCCUGCCUUGCCCCUGAUCAGAAGUGAACGUGACAUUUGUGCGGAGCCUGGAGACUCCAGUGGUGACCCCCUGUGGAGACCGAGAUCAAAUGGAGUCGGGGGGUGAUUGUGAGGUGCCGUGAACUCCCCCUUAAUAAAGCCCAGCUGUGGAAUGAUCAAAUAGUGGAUCUAAUUAAAGCGCUGGCUUUCACCAAUGUAGAAUUCUCUCUGGAAUGAUAACAACCUGUGAUAUGUGCAGUGGAAUGAGCUGGGCAGGUCUUGGGGAAUGAGGGGAUUGUGUGGCAAGCCAUGUUGUUCACAGAUAUUCAUUUCAUACACAGAUCAAAAUCCCAACAUUUUACCAUGCCUGCUUUUAUGUACUAUAUUCUAUAUCUGAAAGGGGUAGGGGGUUGAAAAACAAGGACAAAUAAAAGCCAGCUAAAGACCUAGUCAUGAUUCCUGCAUUUUCACGGACCCUGUAACCAAAAUACAGGUAUCAGGUCAGUGUGACUGGUUCACUGCUUUUCUGCAGGUAAACCCAUUAACACUUCUAUUGUUAAACACCUCCCUAAAUUGAAAUGUAAACAGCCUCCAUGGUUUAACAACACCCCUCACCCCUCCCAGGUUGCCAGUUACCCACUGAUACAGUUGACGUCGGAAGUUUACAUACACUUAGGUUGUUUUUCAACCACUCCACAACUUUCUUGUUAACAAACUAUAGUUAUGGCAAGUCGGUUAGGACAUCUACUUUGUGCAUGAUACAAGUAAUUUUUCUGACAACUGUUUACAGAUAGAUUGUUUCACUUAUAAUUCACUGUAUCACAAUUCCAGUGGGUCAGAAGUUUACAUACACUAAGUUGACUGUGCCUUUAAACAGCUUGCAAAAUUCCAGAAAAUGAUGUCAUGGCUUUAGAAGCUUCUGAUAGGCUAAUUGACAUCAUUUGAGUCAAUUGGAGGUGUACCUGUGGAUGUAUUUAAAAGCCUACCUUCAAACUCAGUGCCUCUUUGCUUGACAUCAUGGGAAAAUCAAAUGAAAUCAGCCAAGACCUCAGAAAAAUAAUUGUAGACCUCCACAAGUCUGGUUCAGCCUUGGGAGCAAUUUCCAAACGCCUGAAGGUACCACGUUCAUCUGUACAAACAAUAGUACGCAAGUAUAAACACCAUGGGACCAUGCAGCCGUCAUACCGCUCAGGAUGGAGACACGUUCUGUCUCCUAGAGAUGAACGUACUUAGGUGAGAAAAGUGCAAGUCAAUUCCAGAACAACAGCAAAGGACCUUGUGAAGAUGCUGAAGGAAACAGGUGCAAAAGUAUCUAUAUCCACAGUAGAAUGAGUCCUAUAUCGAAAUAACCUGAAAGGCCGCUCAGCAAGGAAGAAGUCACUGCUCCAAAAUCGCUAUAAAAAAGCCAGACUCCGGUCUGCAACUGCACAUGGGGACAAAGAUUGUACUUUUUGGAGAAAUGUCCUCUGGUCUGUUGAAACAAAAAUAGAACUGUUUGGCCAUAAUGACCAUUGUUAUGUUUGGAGGAAAAAAGGAGGAGGCUUGUAAGCCGAAGAACACCAUCCCAACCGUGAAGCACGGUGGUGGUUUCAUCAUGUUGUGGGGGUACUUUGCUGCAGGAGUGACUGGUGCAUUUCACAAAAUAGAUGUCCAAAGUUGUGGCAAAAUGGCUUAAGGACAACAAAGUCAAGCUGUUGUAGUGGCCAUCACAGAACCUGACCUCAAUCCUAUAGAACAUUUGUGGGCAGAACUGAAAAGCAUGUGCGAGCAAGGAGGCUUACAAACCUGACUCAGUUCCACCAGCUCUGUCAGGAGGAAAGGGACAAAAUUCACCCAACUUAUUGUGGGAAGCUUGUGGAAGGCUACACAAAACGUUUGACCCAAGUUAAACUAUUUAAAGGCAAUGCUACCAAAUACUGAUUGAGUGUAUGUAAACUUCCGACCCACUGGGAAUGUGAUGAAAGAAAAUAAAAGCUGAAAUACAUCAUUCUCUCUACUAUUAUUCUGACAUUUCACAUUCUUCAAAUAAAGUGGUGAUCCUAACUGACGUACUCUGAUUAAAUGUCAGGAAUUGUGAAGAACUGAGUUCAAAUGUAUUUGGCUGUAUGUAUAAAAGUGGUAUACCUGCAAGAAAGUUGUGUGUAAGGGGAUGUUUGAAAGGGGUUCAUACAAACAUUGCCGUAUAUAUUUUUUUACAGGUAAUAUGCCACAUCUUCUCUCUGAAAUGGGUAGUAGAUGCCAGGAGGAAGCUAAUGAAGGCCAGACAGAUCCUCUGGAUGCAGGCCUUAAAUGAUCCCUCAGAAUACAUUAGAGACUUGCAAUGUUGUAGAAUAUUUACAACGUUGCAGAUUAUUUAGGUAUAUGUUUUGGUUUGCUGAUGAUAUGUUGUGAUACUGAAGGUAUCUUGAGGUUUGAUGCGGCUGGUUGAGAGGGCAAACAUGGUGAUCCUGCAUAUUAUCAGGUGUUCAAUCACUUGUAUUCUGUUGUGUGUUGUAUUAAGCCCCGAUCUGUCGUUUCUAGUUUUGUGUGUUUGCAAAACAGGUUGAUAUUGAAUGGAACAAAUCAAUGUUUUGUCAUCUGAUAAUGUAAAUGAGCCACCUAAAUAUUCCCCUUCUGUGCUAUUUACAUAACCAGUUUGGUCUUUAAUACUUGUGGAAAUUCAAACGUUUGUCUAAUUUGCCAAUUAUUAUUUGUUAUUAUAAAAAGUGUUUUAGGAUGAGAGGUAGGCUAAAUGUCAUUUUGGUAUCACAAACACUAAUUACAUAUAUAGAAGAUAACACAAAAAUAAAAGAACGCUCUUUGACAGUUUUGUCUCAGACAAGUGUUUGAUGAAUAUAACACAGACAAUCCUUUGCAUGUAAAUUUAUCCAGAACUUGCAAUUACUAGGCACUUUUGAAUAUUGAUUAGAGAAGACAAGGACACAGAAGUGAAGCACUUAUGAAUGUAUGAAAGAGCUUGUGAAUCAGUGCCAUUAGUAACUACUUCUCAGCCUCUUUAGUGCUGCUCUUCCCACUAAAUGCAGGCUGAUGUGACUGGUGAUGAGAAACAAUGUCAUUUCAUUACUGCUGAUAUUGCAUGAUGUGUACUUCAUAGAUGUAUGGUACAAUAAUAAAUUAGCAAUGGUCAUCACUGAUGUAUUUAAGCUUACAA